UAUAUUUAAGAUUUUUCUAAUAUCAAUUAACAACUAAUUUAGCAACUAAUUAUAAAUUGAUGCUAUUAGCAACCGAUUUUAGCAACCCAUUGUAAAUCGGUUGCUAAUAACAACCAAUAAUUUUUUUUAAAAUUAAUUAUUUUACUAAGAAAAACUAAAAUCACAAAUUGGUUAAAAAAUUAGUUGCUAAUGGUAGGAGUAUUCGGUUCCAGUUCAGUUUAGGAUUUGCCUAGGAAUCGAAACUGAACCGGAAUUUCAAAAUUUUAACAGGGUUUUGGUUCGGUUCUUCAUUGUUUCGGUUGCAGUUCGGUACAGUUCUAGGUUCUUUGGUUUCGGUUCGAUUUUGUACGAUUUCAGUUCUGUUAUCAGUUCUUAAAAUAAUUUAUGUAAUUAUUUCCUUAAAAAAUUAUAUUUGAAUUAGCAUUUAAGUUUUGAA
rnacentral:misc_RNA from 1 species